rnacentral:rRNA from 1 species
AUUGAACGCUGGCGGCAUGCCUUACACAUGCAAGUCGAACGGGCCAGCACGGGGGCAACCCCUGGUGGGCGAGUGGCGAACGGGGUCGAGUAAUAUAUCGGAACGUACCCUGGAGUGGGGGAUAACGUAGCGAAAGUUACGCUAAUACCGCAUACGAUCUAAGGAUGAAAGUGGGGGAUCGCAAGACCUCAUGCUCCCGGAGCGGCCGAUAUCUGAUUAGCUAGUUGGUGGGGUAAAGGCCUACCAAGGCAUCGAUCAGUAGCUGGUCUGAGAGGACGACCAGCCACACUGGGACUGAGACACGGCCCAGACUCCUACGGGAGGCAGCAGUGGGGAAUUUUGGACAAUGGGGG